rnacentral:tRNA from 1 species
GGACGCUUAGCUCAGCGGAAGAGCACUUCCUUUACACGGAAGGGGUCAUAGGUUCAAAUCCUAUAGCGUCCA